rnacentral:rRNA from 1 species
GACGAACGCUGGCGGCGUGCUUAACACAUGCAAGUGGAGCGACGAACCAGGCUUCGGCCUGGGGCAGAGCCGCGAACGGGUGAGUAACACGUGGGUGACCUGCCCCGAUGACCGGGACAACCCGAGGAAACUCGGGCUAAUACCGGAUGCGUCCACCUCGCGACAGCGGGGCGGGCAAAGGUAGCUUCGGCCUCCGCAUCGGGAUGGGCCCGCGGCCCAUUAGCUUGUUGGUGAGGUAACGGCNCACCAAGGCGACGAUGGGUAGCUGGUCUGAGAGGACGAUCAGCCACACUGGGACUGAGACACGGCCCAGACUCCUACGGGAGGCAGCAGUGGGGAAUCUUGCGCAAUGCGCGAAAGCGUGACGCAGCAACGCCGCGUGGGGGAAGACGGCCUCGGUU